GUUGGGUGUUGUUGUUAGAAUCAUUAAUCAUUUAACAAGUCCUGAUCUAUAUAAGAUCAUCAUAAAUCGUCCACUUUACAAGCAGUUUCCUUAUCGUACAAAGAGGAUAGAAGCUAUCGACAUAUUAAGAUGAAGUUAGUAUUUGCCUUAUUAGUAGUUGUUGUAGCAGCUCUGAUGGUACCUACUGAGAGCUGGCGUGGGCGGCGGGUAUGGAGACGAUACGUUAAGCCAGCGGUUAUCUCUUCGGCUAUAAGCAGUGUUGUUGGUCGAUCGGCCGACGUUGAUCUGAUUGACUUGGCCGCUUCACUAGAAUUGGACCCCCAGUCUCCGGAAUUUGCAGCCGUAGUUCAAGCACUGGACACAGAUGGAGACGGCAAAAUCACAACUGACGAACUAGAAAAAUUAAAGAGCUUGGAGGAUUAACUAACAGAUAUGACAAAAGCAUCAAGAUCGCAUCACUGACAAAAACGUUAGAACACCAACCCAUGGAUCCAUGGUAUAACUAUACGUAUUCUAAUAAAUAAUCAAGCAGUU